rnacentral:lncRNA from 1 species
UGAUUCGUGUGCUUAUAUGAUUUCCUUGAAUGUGAUUUGGAACGCAUUCCUAAAUCUCAUUCAAACUCUGGCCAGAGAUUCUAAAUCAUAUCUUAGAGUAUUCUCCCACAAACAGUUUGAAGGUUAGAGAUCCCUUGUUGCGCAUUCACUUGCCUCCAUGGCUAAGUGGCUUAACCCCAACGAUGCCGUGGACACCCUCUUGAUGGAGUGACUUUGACAUAAUCAAAGAUCAAGGACUUAACCACAAGACAACUAUGAUGCCUCAGGUCAAAUGACUACUUUGCAUUAUCCCAACCAUGAGUUCUCAUGUGACAUGAGUAUGAGAACUCUUCGUUAAUCUCGUUCAGUGAACUCAUUCUCUACUGAGCACCUACGUACUU